rnacentral:rRNA from 2 species
GUACCUUUUGCUACGGAAUAACUCAGGGAAACUUGUGCUAAUACCGUAUGUGCCCUUCGGGGGAAAGAUUUAUCGGCAAAGGAUCGGCCCGCGUUGGAUUAGCUAGUUGGUGAGGUAAAGGCUCACCAAGGCGACGAUCCAUAGCUGGUCUGAGAGGAUGAUCAGCCACACUGGGACUGAGACACGGCCCAGACUCCUACGGGAGGCAGCAGUGGGGAAUAUUGGACAAUGGGCGCAAGCCUGAUCCAGCCAUGCCGCGUGAGUGAUGAAGGCCCUAGGGUUGUAAAGCUCUUUCACCGGUGAAGAUAAUGACGGUAACCGGAGAAGAAGCCCCGGCUAACUUCGUGCCAGCAGCCGCGGUAAUACGAAGGGGGCUAGCGUUGUUCGGAUUUACUGGGCGUAAAGCGCACGUAGGCGGACUUUUAAGUCAGGGGUGAAAUCCCGGGGCUCAACCCCGGAACUGCCUUUGAUACUGGAAGUCUUGAGUAUGGUAGAGGUGAGUGGAAUUCCGAGUGUAGAGGUGAAAUUCGUAGAUAUUCGGAGGAACACCAGUGGCGAAGGCGGCUCACUGGACCAUUACUGACGCUGAGGUGCGAAAGCG